CCUACGGGCGGCUGCAGUGGGGAAUAUUGGACAAUGGGGGGAACCCUGAUCCAGCCAUGCCGCGUGUGUGAAGAAGGCCCUCGGGUUGUAAAGCACUUUCAGCGAGGAAGAACGCCUGGUGGUUAAUACCCAUCAGGAAAGACAUCACUCACAGAAGAAGCACCGGCUAACUCCGUGCCAGCAGCCGCGGUAAUACGGAGGGUGCGAGCGUUAAUCGGAAUUACUGGGCGUAAAGCGCGCGUAGGUGGCUUGAUAAGCCGGUUGUGAAAGCCCCGGGCUCAACCUGGGAACGGCAUCCGGAACUGUCAAGCUAGAGUGCAGGAGAGGAAGGUAGAAUUCCCGGUGUAGCGGUGAAAUGCGUAGAGAUCGGGAGGAAUACCAGUGGCGAAGGCGGCCUUCUGGACUGACACUGACGCUGAGGUGCGAAAGCGUGGGUAGCAAACAGGAUUAGAUACCCCAGUAGUC
rnacentral:rRNA from 1 species